CCGAGGGACAGGAGGAGCCCGGCCCCGGAGCAGAUGCUGAGAAAUCAAGUGGAAUGAGAUGGGGAAAGACCGUCAGAUGCAGCAAGCUGGGGUCAUUUUUAAAAAGGACAGUUUCAGUGGAUAUGGGUGCAGAAAUGAGAUCGCAGACGUUAAGGUCGGAAGUAACAUGGUGCGCAGAAGGCAGUUUGUAUGCACAGUGGAGCACAUGUGUUGAUGCCUGAAAGCCCACAUUGAGAUCCUGGCUCAACCUCUCGCCAACGGUGUCAUUUGGACAAAUCUCUUAAUCUAUGCAACGUACAAUGAGGACAGUAGUCACAGGACAUAACUUAUGGAGUUCUGUGAAUAUAAGGGAAUCUCCUCAUCUUUGCCACCGGUGGGGUACCCUCCCCACUCAUCCUGAGGUACCUGGGAGCAGACAGACAUGAAACACGCAUCAACUUUGUCACUGAGAACGGCAGCAUCAGCUCCUUUUUGGAAACAAAUCCUCUACAAUUCCAUAAAGAUACACCUCUUUACAGUCAUUUAUCAGUUAAAGUCAGAUGUAUAAAAAUGCAUAUCCUAAAAGGAAAUGAAUAUAAAAAUGUUGGUUUUUCUUCAUUAUAAGUGAUAGGUAAACACUAUGGAUAAAGUGAGAACAUGUGAGAAAAGUAAGAGAAGAAGGGACACUUGCAAUCUCAGCAGCUGGGACAAAGCACUGGCUAAAAUUUAGUUUUAUUUCCCUCUGGUAUAAGAGGAAAUUGAAAGUUGAGAAACUGAACAGAGAAGAAAAGGAAAAAAAAAAAAGAAAACAAGGGAGAAAAUGCCUAUCUUAUUGUAUACUUAUAUCUUAAUUGCAAGCAAAUAAAAGAGGACGGUUUUAAAUCUAGAAGCCAAGUUCUAUCAUACAUGCAAAUUCUCAGUACUCAGAGUUGCAAAAGGAUCUUGCCCAGCCACAUCACAUUCCACCUGACAUAUCACCAAGCACCUGUGCAUGGAAUAUGUCUGCCUGUUACAGAACUCAGCACCCGCUCAUGUUAUAUAUCUGGGUGGUACAGAGCUGAUCACCUGUGCGUGUUAUACGUCUGCCUCGUACAGAGCUGAGCACCCAUGCAUGUUAUAUGUCUGCCUGGUGCAGACCUGAGCAACCAUGAAUACUAUAUAUCUGUGUGGUAUGGAACUCAGCACCCACGCAUGUUAUAUGUCUGCCUGGUGCAGACCUGAGCAACCAUGAAUGUUACAUAUCUGUGUGGUAUGGAACUCAGCACCUGCCUGUGCAUGCAAUAUAUCUGUGUGGUACAGAGCUGACCACCUGUGCUUGUUAUAUGUCUGCCUGGUACAGAGCUGAGCAACUAUGCAUGUUAUGUGUCUGCCUGGUGCAGACUUGAGCAACCAUGAAUGUUAUAUAUCUGUGUGGUAUAGAACUCAGCACCCGUGCGUAUUAUAUAUCCGCAUGGUACCAAACUGAGCAACUGUGCAUGUUAUACAUCUGCCUGGCACAGAGGUGAGCACCUAUGCCUGUUAUAUAUCUGCCAGGCACAGAACUGGGCCCAUGUACUUGCUAUAUAUCUGCCUUGCACAGAGCUGAGAGCCCAUACAUAUAACCCCCCUGUGCUGUGUAUCUGACUGUUCGAGAACUGAACCCACGUGCAUUUUAUAUAUCACCCAUAACGGCCCCACAGGCUGCCUGCUGUGUGUUUGCGUUACGUGUCUCUCUGAGGGGAGGGUAAACCAUGAAGAUGACAGUGCAGGCCAGUAUUCUGUUUCCAUCCACCAUCUGUGAAACUGGAAACCCAACAUAGCCAUGAGCAAAAAGUCAUGGAACUGGAACACAAUGGUUUCCAUUGCGGGAGCUGCUCCCUGCAGGUCAGGACCUGGUUUCUUUUCCCCACGGUUCAUUAGCUUUGAACAGCUCCCCAGAGGCUCUGGGUAAAGUUCACUCCAUAGGUCAAACUCACGUUUACAAAGGCAAAAGAACACAGCAUGCAGUCGCUGAGUGUAGAGAACUCCAAAGCUUUCCACAGCAACUAGCUCAUCACCCACAGUCUGUAGUCAAGGAACUAACAUAGCAUGUUUUUCAUGUAGGAGAAGAGAAUCUCCCCAAAUGCUGUUUACAGAGAAAGAAAAUAAAAAAUUUCCAUAUUUAAAAGGUCUUCAGACAGGGUAUUUUUUUUCCUUGCUGUAAAAUACUUAGCUACUGAGGUAUACUACUUAUAUCAUCAGAAAAGGAACCUGCCAUCUUUCCAGUGUCCAUAUUGCCUGUGAGCCGAUCGACAGCACUACCAGCAGGGAUCUGCGUGGCUGGUGGUGAAGGCAGGUCUUCUGGCUGAAGGCCCCUGUAUUCAUUCCUAAAUGCCAUGCCACACCAGUGCUCCGGCAGAUCUGACAUCUUCCACAUUGCAGCCCAGGACAGGAGCCAAGGGAGAGGGAGAGGCAUGCUCAUUUCUGUCACUCACAUAUCCUGGACUUCCAGCCUGGACGAGCAGGAGCUCCCCUUACCAUGGACCCCGUGUGGCAAGGAGUCCUCAACACCACACAGUCCCGCAGCAACGAGGCGCGGACACCCGGACACUGCACGGUCCCCGCAGUAACGAGGCACGGACACCCCAACACCACACAGUCCCCCAGUAACGAGGCGCGGACACCCCAACACCACACAGUCCCCCAGUAACGAGGCGCGGACACCCCAACACCACACAGCCCCCCAGUAACGAGGCGCGGACACCCCAACACCACACAGCCCCCCAGUAAUGAGGCGCGGACACCCCAAAACCACACAGCCCCCCAGUAACGAGGCACGGACACCCCAACACCACACAGUCCCCCAGCAACGAGGCGCAGACACCCAACACCACACAGUCCCCCAGUAACGAGGCGCAGACACUCCAACACCAGUCCCCCAGUAACGAGGCGCAGACACCCCAACACCACACAGCCCCCCAGUAACGAGGCGCGGACACCCCAACACCACACAGUCCCCCAGCAAUGAGGCGCGGACACCCCAACACCACACAGUCCCCCAGCAACGAGGCGCGGACACCCAACACCACACAGUCCCCCAGUAACGAGGCGCGGACACCCCAAAACCACACAGCCCCCCAGCAACGAGGCGCGGACACCCCAACACCACACAGUCCCCCAGUAACGAGGCGCGGACACCCGGACACUGCACAGUCCCCGCAGUAACGAGGCACGGACACCCCAACACCACACAGUCCCCCAGUAACGAGGCGCGGACACCCCAACACCACACAGCCCCCCAGUAACGAGGCGCGGACACCCCAACACCACACAGCCCCCCAGUAACGAGGCGCGGACACCCAACACCACACAGUCCCCCAGUAACGAGGCGCAGACACCCCAACACCACACAGUCCCCCAGUAACGAGGCGCGGACACCCCAACACCACACAGCCCCCCAGUAAUGAGGCGCGGACACCCCAACACCACACAGUCCCCCAGCAACGAGGCGCGGACACCCCAACACCACACAGUCCCCGAGCAACGAGGCGCGGACACCCAACACCACACAGUCCACCAGCAACGAGGCACGGACACCCAACACCACACAGUCCCCCAGUAACGAGGCGCGGACACCCCAACACCACACAGUCCCCCAGUAACGAGGCGCCGACACCCCAACAACACACAGUCCCGCAGCAACGAGGCGCGGACACCCGAACUCCACACAGUCCCCCAGUAACGAGGCGCGGACACCCGAACACCACACAGUCCCCCAGCAACGAGGCGCGGACACCCCAACACCACACAGUCCCCCAGUAACGAGGCGCGGACACCCCAACACCACACAGUCCCCCAGUAACGAGGCGCCGACACCCAACACCACACAGUCCCCCAGUAACGAGGCGCAGACACCCCAACACCACACAGUCCCCCAGUAACGAGGUGCAGACACCCCAACACCACACAGUCCCCCAGUAACGAGGCGCGGACACCCCAACACCACACAGUCCCCCAGUAACGAGGCGCGGACACCCAACACCACACAGUCCCCCAGUAACGAGGCGCGGACACCCCAACACCACACAGUCCCCCAGUAACGAGGCGCGGACACCCAACACCACACAGUCCCCCAGUAACGAGGCGCCGACACCCCAACACCACACAGUCCCGCAGCAACGAGGCGCGGACACCCCAACACCACACAGUCCCGCAGCAACGAGGCGCGGACACCCCAACUCCACACAGUCCCCCAGUAACGAGGCGCGGACACCCAACACCACACAGUCCCCCAGUAACGAGGCGCGGACACCCAACACCACACAGUCCCCCAGUAACGAGGUGCAGACACCCCAACACCACACAGUCCCCCAGUAACGAGGCGCGGACACCCCAACACCACACAGUCCCCCAGAAACGAGGCGCGGACACCCCAACACCACACAGUCCCCCAGUAACGAGGCGCGGACACCCAACACCACAGUCCCGCAGGCCCCUGUGGGUCACGGUGCAGGUGGAUCACAGCUGUAGCACCCCCAAGGUGGCCCAGGCACACGGCAGCUCACAGUGACACCCUAGCACCACGCACACUAGAAGAUCCAGAUGCUGUGAUGAGGAGAGGGUUGGACAGGAUGGGAAGUUCCAGAUUCUCCCUCCACCCAGAUUCCAAGAGGCCCAAAGGCUCAGGACAAGGAUCCUGAACUGUGACCGUGAGCUGGACAGGCGGUGUCUGUGGUGCUCUCCAGCCGGGUUCUUCUAAAGCCUUUAUGACCUGGUGCCUUGUGCCCAGGUCUGCACGUGUUCAAAGAGGAAUACAGACCGCGCUGAAAGGGAAUUGGAGGUAUUGUAUGCAUCUCUUCUCACACUGCUAAUAAAGACAUACCCCAGACUGGGCAAUUUAUAAAGGAAAGAGGUUUAACUGACUCAGUUCCACGUGGCUGGGGAGGCCUCGCAGUCAUGGCAGAAGGCGAAUGAGGAGCAAAGUCAUGUCUUACAUGGUGGCAGGCAAGAGAGUGUGUGCAGGGGAACUCCCUUUUAAAAAACCAUCAGAUCUCAUAAGACUUAGUCACCAUCAUGAAAACAGCACAGGAAAGACCCACCCCAUGAUUCAGUCACCUCCUACUGGGUCCCUCUCAUGACACAUGAGGAUUAUGGGAGCUGCCAGGCAAAACGAGAUUUCGG
rnacentral:lncRNA from 10 species